rnacentral:rRNA from 1 species
GAUCAUGGCUCAGGAUGAACGCUGGCGGCGUGCUUAACACAUGCAAGUCGAACGGGAAACCUUUUAUUGAAGCUUCGGCAGAUUUAGAUUGUUUCUAGUGGCGGACGGGUGAGUAACGCGUGGGUAACCUGCCUUGUACAGGGGGAUAACAGUCAGAAAUGACUGCUAAUACCGCAUAAGCGCACAGGACCGCAUGGUCCGGUGUGAAAAACUCCGGUGGUAUAAGAUGGACCCGCGUUGGAUUAG